UACAGAGGUCUCAAGCGUUGUUCGGAUUCAUUGGGCGUAAAGGGUGCGUAGGUGGCGCCGUAAGUCGGAUGUGAAAUUUCGGAGCUUAACUCCGAAACUGCAUUCGAUACUGCGGUGCUUGAGGACUGGAGAGGAGACUGGAAUUCAUGGUGUAGCAGUGAAAUGCGUAGAGAUCAUGAGGAAGACCAGUGGCGAAGGCGGGUCUCUGGACAGUUCCUGACGCUGAGGCACGAAGGCCAGGGGGAGCAAACGGGG
rnacentral:rRNA from 1 species